rnacentral:rRNA from 1 species
GUAGGUGGCAAGCGUUGUCCGGAAUUAUUGGGCGUAAAGCGCGCGCAGGCGGUUCUCUAAGUCUGAUGUGAAAGCCCACGGCUCAACCGUGGAGGGUCAUUGGAAACUGGAGAACUUGAGUACAGAAGAGGAAAGCGGAAUUCCACGUGUAGCGGUGAAAUGCGUAGAGAUGUGGAGGAACACCAGUGGCGAAGGCGGCCUUCUGGUCUGUAACUGACGCUGAGGCGCGAAAGCGUGGGGGAGCAAACAGGAUUAGAUACCCUGGUAGUCCACGCCGUAAACGAUGAGUGCUAAGUGUUAGGGGGUUUCCGCCCCUUAGUGCUGCAGCUAACGCAUUAAGCACUCCGCCUGGGAGUACGGCCGCAAGGCUG